GGGUAGAUGUCCGAGCGGUUGAAGGAGCACGCCUGGAACGCGUGUAAAGUGAAAGCUUUCGAGGGUUCGAACCCCUCUCUGCCCGCCA
rnacentral:tRNA from 1 species